rnacentral:rRNA from 1 species
CCUACGGGUGGCAGCAGUGGGGAAUAUUGCACAAUGGGGGAAACCCUGAUGCAGCAACGCCGCGUGAGCGAAGAAGGCCUUCGGGUCGUAAAGCUCUGUCCUAAGGGAAGAAGCAUGACGGUACCUUAGGAGGAAGCCACGGCUAACUACGUGCCAGCAGCCGCGGUAAGACGUAGGGGGCGAGCGUUAUCCGGAAUCACUGGGCGUAAAGGGUGCGUAGGCGGCCGAUGAAGCCAGGGGUGAAAGGCUCCGGCUCAACCGUAGUAAGCUCUUGGAACUGAUUGGCUUGAGUGCAGGCGAGGCGGGUAGAAUUGCUAGUGUAGCGGUGAAAUGCGUAGAUAUUCGGAGGAACACCAGUGGCGAAGGCGACUCUCUGGACUGUAACUGACGCUGAGGCACGAAAGCGUGGGGAGCAAACAGGAUUAGCUACCCCAGUAGUC